GACGAACCGAGCGAACGUUAUUCGGAAUCACUGGGCUUAAAGGGCGCGUAGGCGGGCGGCCAAGUCAGGGGUGAAAGCCCCCAGCUCAACUGGGGAAGUGCCUCUGAUACUGGUCGUCUCGAGGGAGAUAGGGGCGUGCGGAACUUCCGGUGGAGCGGUGAAAUGCGUAGAUAUCGGAAGGAACACCGGUGGCGAAAGCGGCGCGCUGGAUCUCUUCUGACGCUGAGGCGCGAAAGCCAGGGGAGCGAACGGG
rnacentral:rRNA from 1 species